UAGGAAUGUACACGGGCCUCAAAGCACUUCCUAGCUAAGGCAGUAACAGGAGCCUUGCUAAAUACAGAAGCCUUUGUUCUCAAUGACAGAAAUCCAUAUCGACCAGUCUAUCCCAGAGUGCUUCAGAUUCUCAGUGGGGACUGUAAUGUGUUCUUCCACAUUCCACAGCCAGGCUUGCCACGCACAACAAAGCCAGCAUUGUGCACGCUUCUGCUGCAGCACCCACUGUCUGCCUGACUGUGUGGAAAUACAAAUCAGGCUCUACCCUUUGGCUUUUCCUUUUCUAGAGCCAUCAAGAGUGGCAUGUCACGGCCGCCGUGUGGGCAAGCACCCAGAAGUCGGUUUUCUGUGGUGUCCCUCGGUGCUUAGAGUAAUAUUUUCCUCAGUGCUAUUUAAAACUGCAUAUUUUACAUUCUCCUUUCAGGGUUGUCUACCCCUUUUCUCACCAAACCCUCAAAAAAAAAAAAAAAA
rnacentral:lncRNA from 1 species